rnacentral:rRNA from 1 species
UACGUAGGGUGCAAGCGUUAUCCGGAAUUAUUGGGCGUAAAGAGCUCGUAGGCGGUUUGUCGCGUCUGCUGUGAAAACUGGAGGCUCAACCUCCAGCCUGCAGUGGGUACGGGCAAACUAGAGUGCGGUAGGGGAGAUUGGAAUUCCUGGUGUAGCGGUGGAAUGCGUAGAUAUCGGGAGGAACACCAGUGGCGAAGGCGGCGAUCUGGGAAGAUACUGACGCUGAGGUGCGAAAGCGUGGGGAGCAAACAGG